AACAGGGAUUGCCCUAGUAACGGCGAGUGAAGCGGCAACAGCUCAAAUUUGAAAUCUGGCCUCGGCCCGAGUUGUAAUUUGCAGAGGAUGUUUCUGGCGCGGUGCCUUCCGAGUUCCCUGGAACGGGACGCCACAGAGGGUGAGAGCCCCGUAUGGUUGGACACCAAGCCUGUGUGAAACUCCUUCGACGAGUCGAGUAGUUUGGGAAUGCUGCUCAAAAUGGGAGGUAAAUCUCUUCUAAAGCUAAAUACUGGCCAGAGACCGAUAGCGCACAAGUAGAGUGAUCGAAAGAUGAAAAGCACCUUGAAAAGGGGGUUAAACAGUACGUGAAAUUGUUGAAAGGGAAGCGUUUAUGACCAGACUUGUGCCGGGCGGCUCAUCCGGGGUUCUCCCCGGUGCACUCCGCCCGGCUCAGGCCAGCAUCGGUUCUCGUUGGGGGAUAAGAACGGUAGGAACGUGGCCCUCCCUCGGGAGGGUGUUAUAGCCUGCCGUACGAUACCCUGAUGGGGACCGAGGUUCGCGCUCCGCAAGGAUGCUGGCGUAAUGGUCAUCAGCGACCCGUCUUGAAACACGGACCAAGGAGUCGUCCAUUAGAGCGAGCGUUUGGGUGUCAAACCCGCACGCGUAAUGAAAGUGAAAUUAGGUGAGAGCUUCGGCGCAUCAUCGACCGAUCCUGAUGUUCUCGGAUGGAUUUGAGUAAGAGUUUUAACGGACGGACCCGAAAGACAGUGAACUAUGCUUGUAUAGGGUGAAGCCAGAGGAAACUCUGGUGGAGGCUCGCAGCGGUUCUGACGUGCAAAUCGAUCGUCAAAUAUGAGCAUGGGGCGAAAGACUAAUCGCCG
rnacentral:rRNA from 1 species